UUUGGUGGCGAUAGCGAAGAGGUCACACCCGUUCCCAUACCGAACACGGAAGUUAAGCUCUUCAGCGCCGAUGGUAGUCGGGGGUUUCCCGCUGUGAGAGUAGGACGCCGCCAAGC
rnacentral:rRNA from 1 species